CACCUCUCAAGCUCUGCUUGGUAUUGGGCUGCGCCGGUGAUCCGGCGGGCCUCAAAAUCAGUGGCGGCGCCCUCUGGCUUCAAGCGUAGUAGUGAUAUCUCGCUUUGGGAUCCAGGCGGCGGCAGCCAGCAAACCCCUCAAUUUCUCC
rnacentral:misc_RNA from 1 species